UACGGGGGGCAAGCGUUGUUCGGAAUUACUGGGCGUAAAGGGCUCGUAGGUGGCCAAUUAAGUCAGACGUGAAAUCCCCAGGCUCAACCUGGGAACUGCGUCUGAUACUGGUUGGCUUGAAUUCGGGAGAGGGAUGCAGAAUUCCAGGUGUAGCGGUGAAAAUGCGUAGAUAUCUGGAGGAAUACCGGUGGCGAAGGCGGCAUC
rnacentral:rRNA from 1 species